rnacentral:rRNA from 1 species
AUUGAACGCUGGCGGCAGGCCUAACACAUGCAAGUCGAGCGGCAGCGGAAAGUAGCUUGCUACUUUGCCGGCGAGCGGCGGACGGGUGAGUAAUGUCUGGGAAACUGCCUGAUGGAGGGGGAUAACUACUGGAAACGGUAGCUAAUACCGCAUAAUGUCGCAAGACCAAAGAGGGGGACCUUCGGGCCUCUUGCCAUCAGAUGUGCCCAGAUGGGAUUAGCUAGUAGGUGGGGUAACGGCUCACCUAGGCGACGAUCCCUAGCUGGUCUGAGGGGAUGACCAGCCACACUGGAACUGAGACACGGUCCAGACUCCUACGGGAGGCAGCAGUGGGGAAUAUUGCAUAAUGGGCGCAAGCCUGAUGCAGCCAUGCCGCGUGUAUGAAGAAGGCCUUCGGGUUGUAAAGUACUUUCAGCGGGGAGGAAGGUGUUGAGGUUAAUAACCUCAGCAAUUGACGUUACCCGCAGAAGAAGCACCGGCUAACUCCGUGCCAGCCGCCGCAGUAAGAC